CUUAUACAAGUUGGAUGUCAGAUUUACCUUUGGAUUUCUUGCUGAUGAAUAAGGAUGGCUCAGCUACAGGUGCACGUGUGGAUAUGCUCUUCUUAUGGGUCUGGUUGACGUCCUUGAGGGUUUUCACCACUUCCUCCACAAAGUUAUCACAAAACUCUUGGACAUCAAACUGAAGCAAACGUCUCUUUGGAUCAGCUUCACCUUGGGACGACUUGAAAGGUUCAUUGCACCUCCUGUUUGGUAUAUCUUGCACACUAACAAACUCAUCAAAAUUAUUCAAAGAAUAUUUAAAUGAAGAUUGAGAGAUAGUUUGUUGUGGGGCUCCUUGCUACUUUCCCUUUGAAGACCAAACAUCAUAACCUGAAAAUCUCAACACAAAAUUAGAAAAUAAAACCUCACUCUCUCAAGUGUUUAAUCUCACC
rnacentral:lncRNA from 1 species